rnacentral:rRNA from 1 species
AUGCAAGUCGAACGGUAGCACAGAGGAGCUUGCUCCUCGGGUGACGAGUGGCGGACGGGUGAGUAAUGUCUGGGAAACUGCCUGAUGGAGGGGGAUAACUACUGGAAACGGUAGCUAAUACCGCAUAACGUCGCAAGACCAAAGAGGGGGACCUUCGGGCCUCUUGCCAUCAGAUGUGCCCAGAUGGGAUUAGCUAGUAGGUGGGGUAACGGCUCACCUAGGCGACGAUCCCUAGCUGGUCUGAGGGGAUGACCAGCCACACUGGAACUGAGACACGGUCCAGACUCCUACGGGAGGCAGCAGUGGGGAAUAUUGCACAAUGGGCGCAAGCCUGAUGCAGCCAUGCCGCGUGUAUGAAGAAGGCCUUCGGGUUGUAAAGUACUUUCAGCGGGGAGGAAGGUGUUGAGGUUAAUAACCUCAGCAAUUGACGUUACCCGCAGAAGAAGCACCGGCUAACUCCGUGCCAGCAGCCGCGGUAAUACGGAGGGUGCAAGCGUUAAUCGGAAUUACUGGGCGUAAAGCGCACGCAGGCGGUCUGUUAAGUCGGAUGUGAAAUCCCAGGGCUCAACCUGGGAACUGCAUUCGAAACUGGCAGGCUGGAGUC